CUGAAAUGCCACUUUGCCCUGACAAGCAGGCUCUGUAGAUGAAAUCAGCACAUUUUCCACAAUUUUGUUUAUUUCUUCAUUUUCAUCUUCGGAAUAAAGAGCCAUGCCAGGAACGUUAACAGGUGGAAAUUGUUGCCCGUAUCUAGGACGACUAUCAGCUACUGUAGUGCCGGGGAAGCCAGCUGCCAUAUCAUGAGGAUACUCAGGAAGUUCUAUGGAGAGGACCACAUGGUGAGAAACUGAGACCUCCUGCCAACAGCCCUUUGAGCAUGCCACUUUGGAAGUGAAUCCUCCAGUCCCAAUCAAGCUUUCAGAUGACUGCAGCACUGCUGGAUGAUACCUUGACUGUAACCUCAUGGGACACCCUGAGUCAGAAUGACCUAGCUAAGCUGCACCUGUAUUCCUGACCACAGAAAGUACCUGUCUUAAGGAGGUGGCCUGCAGAAUCCCAAUUUGUGAACGCUGUGUUCAAUCUGCAUGUAACCUCAACUUCAGUCCAAUUCCUGGACACAGACGUUGAAAAUAACAUUUGGGAAGGAGAGGAGGACAGUGCAUGCCAGGAUUUAGGAGCCAGAUGGACAGAGGCACAGAGGUGGAAGUGGUCUGACGCCUUCACAAGAAGCAGAUACUGUCUCUGUGCUACUUGUACAGCCCACAGAACUGUGAAGCCGGAA